GCGACUGUGAUGUAGUGGUAGCCUUCCACCUUGCCAUGGUGGGCGUGCGGGUUCGAUUCCCGCCAGUCGCUCCA
rnacentral:tRNA from 2 species